UCCAUAGGUUAAUGAGGCGAACCGGGGGAACUGAAACAUCUAAGUACCCCGAGGAAAAGAAAUCAACCGAGAUUCCCCCAGUAGCGGCGAGCGAACGGGGAGCAGCCCAGAGCCUGAAUCAGUGUGUGUGUUAGUGGAAGCGUCUGGAAAGGCGCGCGAUACAGGGUGACAGCCCCGUACACAAAAAUGCACAUACUGUGAGCUCGAUGAGUAGGGCGGGACACGUGGUAUCCUGUCUGAAUAUGGGGGGACCAUCCUCCAAGGCUAAAUACUCCUGACUGACCGAUAGUGAACCAGUACCGUGAGGGAAAGGCGAAAAGAACCCCGGCGAGGGGAGUGAAAAAGAACCUGAAACCGUGUACGUACAAGCAGUGGGAGCACAGAGCAAUCUGUGUGACUGCGUACCUUUUGUAUAAUGGGUCAGCGACUUAUAUUCUGUAGCAAGGUUAACCGAAUAGGGGAGCCGAAGGGAAACCGAGUCUUAACUGGGCGUUAAGUUGCAGGGUAUAGACCCGAAACCCGGUGAUCUAGCCAUGGGCAGGUUGAAGGUUGGGUAACACUAACUGGAGGACCGAACCGACUAAUGUUGAAAAAUUAGCGGAUGACUUGUGGCUGGGGGUGAAAGGCCAAUCAAACCGGGAGAUAGCUGGUUCUCCCCGAAAGCUAUUUAGGUAGCGCCUCGUGAAUUCAUCUCCGGGGGUAGAGCACUGUUUCGGCAAGGGGGUCAUCCCGACUUACCAACCCGAUGCAAACUGCGAAUACCGGAGAAUGUUAUCACGGGAGACACACGGCGGGUGCUAACGUCCGUCGUGAAGAGGGAAACAACCCAGACCGCCAGCUAAGGUCCCAAAGUCAUGGUUAAGUGGGAAACGAUGUGGGAAGGCCCAGACAGCCA
rnacentral:rRNA from 1 species